AUAAAUUUCAAAUCUAUAUUUCGAAAGGAAAGAUACGAUAAAAUUAGAAACAGUAUCUUAGGAGAUAUUUUGACAUCAAUUGAUCGCUUACCUUCAUCAAAAAAAAACCUUCGGCCAUACAAACUUACAAAUAAUGGAGGCAAUAUACAAAUGGUUACAGCACUUGUUCUACAACUUAUUCAAUGUGCUACCAUUCUACCAGACUCACUUUGUAAUAACGGAAAAUUAAGUAAUAAGUCUCAACAGAGUGUUGUUAUAAACGAAAUUAUUUCAGGUGGAGAUAAAAAACCAGUAAAACCACAUCAGGAUAUAUUGGUUUUACAAAAGUAUGAUGUAGCUGUCAGUAUUGGUGGAAAUUUUUUGACCACUUUUUUAAAUAAAUGCAAAUCAAGGUCCAAUGAAACUGAUUUUCGACCACUUUUUGAAAAUUUUAUUCAUGAUCUACUAGCCACCGUAAACAAGCCUGAAUGGCCAGCAUCUGAAUUGUUACUUUCCCUUUUGGGAACAAUGCUGGUCCGGUAUGUGUCUGAUAAAGGUAUAGAACAAAGUAUUCGCUUAGUUUCAUUGGAUUACCUUGGCAUAGUAGCUGCUCGAUUGCGUAAGGACACAGUUGAAUCUCGAUGUAAGGCUAACAUUAUUGAUUCAAUGAUAAAGUCUAUAAAAGUAGAACAAGAAAAGGAGGGAGACUUUAUAGAAAAUGUUGAUCAAUUUAAAUUGCAUCCCGAGGAGCGGAGAACAGAGUUUCUACAAAAAAUACUUCUCGAUUUUCUAGCUGUGAAUGCUCAAGAAGAGAAUUUAAUCUGGGACUAUGCUCGACAUUUUUAUUUGGUACAGUGGUAUCGGGAUGUCAUUUAUCAAAGACGUCGAAUGAAGGAUGCUAAAAAAGAAUUGGCUGUGAGAAAGUCUAAAGGUAUAACUAAGCACAGGACUGACGGUAUGUUUUUAAAUAUUAA